UACGGAGGGUGCAAGCGUUAUCCGGAAUCAUUGGGUUUAAAGGGUCCGCAGGCGGGCUAAUAAGUCAGUGGUGAAAUCUCUCGGCUUAACCGAGAAACUGCCAUUGAUACUGUUAGUCUUGAAUUCGGUCGAAGUGGGCGGAAUAUGUCAUGUAGCGGUGAAAUGCUUAGAUAUGACAUAGAACACCGAUAGCGAAGGCAGCUCACUAGACCUGGAUUGACGCUCAGGGACGAAAGCGUGGGGAGCGAAC
rnacentral:rRNA from 1 species